GGGAGUUUGGCCGAGUGGUUAAGGCGUUGUGUUUAGGUCAUCCUCACUAAACAGAGGAUACUUCAAACCGCAAUGGGAAACCGCGCAGGUUCGAAUCCUGCAGCUCUCA
rnacentral:tRNA from 1 species